UCCUGAGAUCAAAAUACAUAAGGAUAGCAUGACAAACCCUUCCAAAAAAAAUCUGGAUCUUCAUCUCAGAUUUUGAGAAAAUUCCAAGGCUAUAGGCUUACUGUUUUUUUCGGCAAAAAAGUGAAGCAUUUGCUAGAAUAAUUCUAGGAUGCUUUUCCUACGUGAAAAAGCGUAUCGAACAAGAGGCCGUCAAUGAAAUUAAGCUGGCGUAAGAUUCCAUCGAGAUUCGGAUUCCUGAGAUCAAAAUACAUGAGGAUAGCAUGACAAACCCUUCCAAAAAAAAUCUGGAUCUUCAUCUCAGAUUUUGAGAAAAUUCCAAGGCUAUAGGCUUACUGUUUUUUUCGGCAAAAAAGUAAAGCAUUUGCUAGAAUAAUUCUAGGACGCUUUUCCUACGUGAAAAAGCGUAUCGAACAAGAGGCCGUCAAUGAAAUUGAGCUGGCGUAAGAUUCCAUCGAGAUUCGGAUUCCUGAGAUCAAAAUACAUGAGGAUAGCGUGGGGAACCCUUGAAAAAAAAAUCUCUCCUCUCAUCUCAGAUUUUGAGAAAAUUCCAAGGCUAUAGGCUUACUGUUUUUUUCGGCAAAAAAGUAAAGCAUUUGCUAGAAUAAUUCUAGGACGCUUUUUCUACGUGAAAAAGCGUAUCGAACAAGAGGCCGUCAAUGAAAUUGAGCUGGCGUAAGAUUCCAUCGAGAUUCGGAUUCCUGAGAUCAAAAUACAUAAGGAUAGCAUGACAAACCCUUCCAAAAAAAAUCUGGAUCUUCAUCUCAGAUUUUGAGAAAAUUCCAAGGCUAUAGGCUUACUGUUUUUUUCGGCAAAAAAGUGAAGCAUUUGCCGGAAUAAUUUCGGGACGCUUUUUCUAUGUAAAAAAGCGUAUCGAACGCGAAGCCGUCAAUAAAAUUGAGCUGGCGUAAGAUUCCAUCGAGAUUCGGAUUCCUGAGAUCAAAAUACAUGAGGAUAGCGUGGGGAACCCUUCCAAAAAAAAUCUGGAUCUUCAUCUCAGAUUUUGAGAAAAUUCCAAGGCUAUAGGCUUACUGUUCUUCCCGGCAAAAAAGUGGAGUAUCCCUCAGAAUGAUUUCAGGACGCUUCUCCUAUGAAGAAAAGCGUAUCGAACAAGAAGCCGCCAAUCAAAUUAAGCUGGCAUUCGGAUUCCUGAGAUCAAAAUAUAUCGGAAUAACAUAGAAAUUCUCAUAAAGAAAAUUCUCAAGAGAUACUCUGAAAAGAUGCGCCUAGACCUGGUGCCUCAUCAUGUGCAUGCCUUCAUUUCUGUGUAAUAAAUCAUACUCUUACAGGGUAUGAUGAAGACAUAAGCUAGUUGCAUGCUGGGCUGAUUUUAUGCAAUCAUAUGUAUUUAAUUUCACUCUUAUCAAUAAAUUUGCU